GCAACCCUUCCGCCCCCCUGCGUAUUCGGCGAGUAGGUUGGUUUCCUGUCACAAGGGCGUGGGCUCCGUGCUACGCGCGGAAUUCGCGGCGACCAAAGGGAAUAACAGCUGUGCCCUCAAGGAGCUUACAUGAAGUUAUGCACAACAAACAAUUGCUAACGCCCUAUAAAGUCAAAAUAUGACCGGUGUUUAAAGAUGAGUAAAAACUUCCUUAGGGACCAAACCAGCAAGUAGACUCAGCUUUGGAAGUCAUCACCCUGGUCCACCUUGAUGUGUCAGCACCACAGAGAGCAGCUUACUUCAUACCCAACCCUGUAAUGCUUGAGUCACUCAAAUGGUGGUAAAGAGGCAAACUAGAUUGUUUCUAAUCGGUGUGAGAGCUGAGGAAUGCAUAAUGGGAAGACUGCUGAGGCUACUUAGAGAUGCCUCUCCCAGUACUCCUUCAGGAUGCUGCUUCCAUCUAUGUUAAGCCCUGGGUCAACUCUGCAGAGAGGCCCCCAGUUACACAGGUUCCUUCUGGCCCAGAGUGACCCCCCUGUGGAUGACUGCCGAGUGAGAGCAUGCAUGAUUACCAGAGGUUGCCCAAGCUCCAAAGGAAGCACUCCAUGAUCAACAACCCUGACACUACGUGGAAAUGGACACGACUGAUGAAUGUGAAAAGGAAUCAUUGAAAUGGAAAAUCCUGGAGCUGAAAGUGGCCUUAUCCAACUCUACUCUGUGAAUUUUGUAUUUUUUCUUUUAUUUAUUCAUCAUCUCAACAGACAUUUUUUGCAAAUAUACUACAUGCAAAGCACUACAUUGGGUGCUAGGAAGAGAACUGUGAACAAG